rnacentral:rRNA from 1 species
GUCAAGUCAUCAUGGCCCUUACGGCUGGGGCUACACACGUGCUACAAUGGGCAGGACAGAGGGUAGCCAAGUCGCGAGACGGAGCAAAUCCCAGAAACCUGUCCCCAGUUCGGAUUGUCGGCUGCAACCCGCCGGCAUGAAGUCGGAAUCGCUAGUAAUCGCGGAUCAGCCAUGCCGCGGUGAAUAUGUUCCUGAGCCUU